GUGCUCACGUCAGCAGCACAUACACUAAAAUUGGAACAAUACAGAGAUUAUCAUGGCCCUGUGCAAUGAAGAUGCACAAAUUCAUGAAGCAUGCCAUAUGUAC
ensembl:snRNA U6 U6 spliceosomal RNA